rnacentral:rRNA from 1 species
UACGUAGGGUGCAAGCGUUGUCCGGAAUUUAUUGGGCGUAAAGAGCUCGUAGGCGGUUCGUCGCGUCGGCUGUGAAAUCCCGAGGCUCAACCUCGGGUCUGCAGUCGAUACGGGCGGACUGGAGUUCGGCAGGGGAGACUGGAAUUCCUGGUGUAGCGGUGAAAUGCGCAGAUAUCAGGAGGAACACCGGUGGCGAAGGCGGGUCUCUGGGCCGAUACUGACGCUGAGG